GAUGAACGCUGGCGGCGUGCCUAACACAUGCAAGUCGAACGGACAUUUUUGGAAAGUUCUUCGGAACUGGAAUCUAAAUAGUUAGUGGCGAACGGGUGAGUAACGCGUGAAUAACCUGCCUUUCAGUGGGGGACGAACAGUCGGAAACGACUGCUAAUACCGCAUGACGCUUCUUGGGGGCGAUCCCUGAGAAGUCAAAGCUUUAUGUGCUGAAAGAUGGCCUCGCGUCUGAUUAGCUUGUUGGCGGGGUAACGGCCCACCAAGGCGACGAUCAGUAGCCGGACUGAGAGGUUGAACGGCCACAUUGGGACUGAGACACGGCCCAG
rnacentral:rRNA from 1 species